GGAUUGGGCCCCGCAUUGGUCUCUCUGCUCAUGGGAAGUCUUUCCCUCUCCCUCUAUCUGCCUCUCUGCCUACUUGUAUGCAUACAUUCUCUCUCUGUCAAAUAAAUAAAUAAAAAUAUUUUUAAAAAAUUCUCUUGUUUUUUCAAAGGUGGCUUUGGAUGAGGAGUAGGCUAAAGCCAGUAGUUGGGUGUGGUUACAUCAGUGAGGGGCAGCCAGGGGCUUGUGUGAGAAAUGGUUCAGUUUCAGGCAUUCUGAUGAUGAGAUGUCAGUGGACUUCUAAGCAGAGAGGUCCAGUGUGCAGUUGGCCACAUCUCCAUGGAUACCACUAGGAGGUAUCCCUUGUUCAUGUUACAGCCAAAAAUGUCCUUUGGCCUGAAAUGAUUGCAACUGAGGAAUAAUUUACAAAACGAAAUCCAAACACACUUGGGUUUUGAAUGAGGGAAGUUUCUGGUUGGGAAGGUGAAAGGAACCUAGGGAAAAAGGGAGAAAAAGGACGGAGGCCAGGACAUGCAGAGUUGGAGCAAGAGGUGGAAGGAGCAGGAAAGCAGAAAACACACACAGCCAUGCACAGAAAGGAGAGAGACUGGGAGGGUGGAGGGGGCAGUGGGGGCUAGGGAUGGAGAGACAGAGAGGGCUGCAGGAGAGAGGUGGCUUAGAGCACACUGAAGUAGAUUUGUUACUUGAGUUCGAAUACGUUCUACUUGCUUCGCUGCUUACUUGGACAAUGGUUAUUGGAAUAAACUAUUUUUUUAAAGAUUUUAUUAAUUUAUUCAUGAGAGACACAGAGAGAGAGGCAGAGACACAGGCAGAGGGAGAAGCAGGCUCCUUGCGGGGAGCCUGAUGGGGGACUGGAUCCCAGGACUCCAGGAUCACAUCCUGAGCCGAAGGCGGAUGUUCAACCACUGAGCCACCCAGGUAUCCCUGGAAUAAACUAUUAUUUGACAUUUUUCUUAGCACUUCCUAAAUUAACCACCAUUCACAGUUGUUUCGGUAACCUCACCAUACAUAAUUAGCUUUGCUUGAGCCAAUGAAAGCAGUCAACACACCCCGGGGCGAACUCAGAGCCACCCAGUACAAUUUUCUCUGUCUGUACCGUCCAAGUGGUAGCCACCAGCCACAGUGGCUACUGAGCAUUUAAGAUGAGGCUAAUUCAACCGAAGAAAUGAGUUUUAACUUUUCUUUAAUUAACUAAUUUCUCAGAGGAUGGUAAAUACACCAAAGGGGGUAUGAACAAGACACAUGACUAGAAUACAAAUGACCAAUCUAAAAAAAUGUAAUAGCUCUAAAAUUAAAUGGACAUUUAAAAAUAAUAGUGAAUUAUUUUAAGGUAUAUUAGAAGACUAUUAUCUGGCACAUCAAAUGGAUGAUUUCACAGAAAUUGUAGUGCUUGGAACAAGAGAAUGAAAGAGUGCAUUUAUUUGAAGACAAAUAUGAAAUAAAUCAAAGUACACGUGGUACAUGAAUGUGGCAUAAAUUGCAAAGGCUGAAUGACCGAAGCGCAGCCGGGAAUCCCAGGCCAGGCGGUGGUUUCCAAGUGCAGUAUCCUGCAGAUUGACAAAGGACUUUAAUUUGUGACCACGGACUCACAGGGUAAGAAAGAAGAGCUAUUUUUCAGUUGUUGCGAUAGACAGGUGAGAGAGAAGAGGAAGGAGAUGAGAGACUGCAAAAACCUGCCAAGAAAGCAGAGAUUUAGGGGAAUUCAAGCCGAGCUCUAGAUGCAACUGAGCCACUCACCACUUCUCUCUUGCAUUCACUUGCUGGGCAGACUGGGGGCAACAUGCCAACAGCAUCCCAGGGAUAGCGUGUGGAGUAAAUAAGAUAGAACAACACAGGCUGCAAACUACAGAAAGUCAAAUACCAAUGUCAUUCCACUGUAUUCCCUCCUCACUUUUCUUAGUUUUGUCUCCUCUUCCAGGACCCUACCUGGACCCCAUUUCAAUGGAUGUCAGAUAAUUUAUUGGGAACACUAUGCAGUUUCUAUGCCUUUGCCUCUCCUGUUUCCUAUGAUAUGUUGUUGAGCAGAGUGUUUUCACUUGGUCCAAGACCCCUGCCGAGGCCCAGGGAAAGCGGCCCAUUCUACAACUGAGGCCUCUGACUAUAGGUCUAAAUCUGGUUAUUAGCAGAGGGUGUGUGUCAUUGUGCAAGGAGAGCAACAAACAAGUCCCUGCUUCUGCUGAUCCUUUGAAAAAAAAAAAAAACCUGCCAGGCCUUUGCCAGAGUGUGCCCUGAAAAACAGCCAAGGCACAAAUUAACACCCACUUUCCGGCAAUGGGAACAAUUCCUGAAAAAGCCACUUCCACAAAACCCGAGGCAACCUGGAAUAAUCCGGGAGCCAAGACACAAUUUAUUACUUCACAAAGAACAUAGAAUUCUGAUCCAGCAGCAAACUAGCUGCUAGGUUUUUUUCCUUUCCCACACAAGCUGCAUUUCAAAGGUCUGACACUUAAAAUUUACAAGCCCAGCCUUUGAGAGGAAUGCUUUACAAAGCCGAAGAUUUAUAGAAUGUCAUAAGUGAAGACAACAUAGAGAUUGGGUCCUCCUUAGUCCCUCACCUUAGACACGGGGCCAUGGAGCUUGGGCAGGGCAAGCAAGGAACUUGCCCAGGACCGCCCACAGUGAUAGGUGACGAGACAGCCAGCCGUGAAACCGAGGCAUUUGGACCCCACGAUCACUGGUCUCUCCAGCUCCUUCAAUUUUUUGACUAUGUUCGAACAUCAAUCAUGUUCUCAAAUUAACAUUUUUAAAAGAAGUAUUUUUCAUUUUCAAACCAGCAGACUCCAAAAGGGGAUUCAGGCAUUGCUUAGGAGAUGGAACCGACAACAUCAAAGGUAAUUUUUAACCCUGCCAGACCACGUUUUCAUGAAAACAGGUGGUACGUAACACAGGAACUGAACUUGCAGUGUGCAUCCGGGUGACCUAGGACAACACGCGAAUUCACCGCUGGUGAGGAUGUGAAUUGGUAAAACCAUUCCAAAAAGAAAAAAAAUGACAAUAUGAAUGAGAUGUCCAAACCUCACUUUUGACCCAGAAUUCCCACUUCUAGGAACUUUCCCUGAGGAAGUCACUAAAGAAAUGAGCAAACAUGCACGUACAACAUGUUUCCAGCAAAACGCCUGGAAACAACAUAAGUAACUGCAAGGUUUGGUGCAACCUAUUUGGAUAUACCCAUCCAUGGGACGUGACGCACUCAAGAGAAAGGAUAUCUAUGUAUAUCUUCCAUCAGAGAGAUGUUCUUUAGAAAGCACAUCACAAAAUGGCACAUAUAGUAUGAUCCUACUUUUGUUAAAACAUACACUGUUUUUUAGCAAGCAAUAUAAAAGAUCUGAGGUUACUACCAGAGAAAAAGACCUAGGAAGUAUUGAAUUUUUCUCCUUUUGUUUGUAGCUUCUAUUUUCUUGGAAUGGAAAGGCAUAGUUCAUAGUCUUUUGAAAGGUCUUAAAAAUGAAAUGAGUUGAUUAUUUACUACCCAAGGUGGAUACCCACCAAAGAAUAACCUUCAUACCUUCUCUCCUGGCAGGAUCUAUGAGCUGGAUGGUGAUGCUUAUCUCUCCUCCAGCAUCUGUCAAGCCCUCCUAAUUACUCCUGCAGGUGGCCAGAUGGAACCGGCUCUUUCCAUCACAGGCCUCAUGCCCAGGACAGAAAUGUGACCUCGGUGACUACUGCCAUUCCUUCCCCUGGUACAAAGGAGUCUUCUUUCUGCUCCCCUGCAGAUGUGCUCAACUGUUCUUCACCUUC
rnacentral:lncRNA from 1 species